UCUAGCAUGUGCGCGAGUCAUUGGGACUUUUUUUUAAGGAAAGCCUAGAGGCGCAAUGAAAGUGAAGAUCGGUCUUUACGACUCGAUCGAGGGAGGAUGACUCGUUGUUUUACUGCGAGUUCGCACUCCCGGGGCGUCUCGCGCUCGUUUCGAGCGGAGGCGCACCCAGAGCGUACACGUUGGGACCCGAAAGAUGGUGAACUAUGCCUGGUCAGGACGAAGUCAGGGGAAACCCUGAUGGAGGUCCGUAGCGAUUCUGACGUGCAAAUCGAUCGUCGGAACUGGGUAUAGGGGCGAAAGACUAAUCGAACCAUCUAGUAGCUGGUUCCCUCCGAAGUUUCCCUCAGGAUAGCUGGCACUCGCUAGUGCGAGUCUCAUCUGGUAAAGCGAAUGAUUAGAGGCCUUGGGGCCGAAACGACCUCAACCUAUUCUCAAACUUUAAAUGGGUGAGAACUCUGGCUUGCUUGAAACUUGAAGCCACGAGAUAAACACUUUGUGUAUCAUGGAUCAGAGUGCCAAGUGGGCCAAUUU
rnacentral:rRNA from 3 species